GGGAGAAAAGGAGUUACACAACAAUCUUGCAAGUCACUUGAGUGUGGUAACAAACCUUGCGACUUUCAGAGAACAGGCCAAAAAUAUUGUAACCAUUCCUAAAGCAAUACUAAAGCCCUUCCUAAAGUAAUAAAUGGGAAGAAAUGCAUUUUUUGGGGUUUGGAACAAUAUAAGGGAGAUAAUGUUCAUUUUGGUGCAAACUAUUCCUUUAAAGAAGGACCACCAGGUUGCCAAGCCAGAGAGGGGGAUGUGAGACAGAGAGAAGAAAGAGCAAAGGAGGAGUCUGGGUAAGCACUACGGCUGCCAACUUGUCUGUUGAGUUGAGAAGAAGCAUCUGGAAGCAUUUAUGUCUGAGAAAGAACUGCUACGGUCCCAACGGUUACAUCACUCAGAGGAACACUUCCCUGCCCCCAACACACACAUACACAAUCGUAUGCACACACAUACAGACACACACAACACCCCCCAGCAACCCAGUACGAUUUCCUGCAAAUUCCAAAGUCGGAUACCGGCUGGAACAUUUCAGUCCGUAUGCCACGUCACUUUGCCUCCCCUUUCGUCUCGCUCUCUCUAUCUUCAUCUCUCUUUUCACCAUUUAACGCUUUCUUUUUACUUCAGGAACCAUCGCUGAAGGACCAUUCCUUGCUGUUUUUCAUAUAGCAACACUAAAGUGCGAAAACUACGAUUGUACGUGGUACAGAAUGUGAGAAAGAAGUCAUGGCGGCAAAAUAGUCAGUAUUUGUAAUGAAGAAAACUGCAGAGGCCUGGAAUAUGUGUUGCCAUACAGCAGUGGACAUUGGAGUACUGUCACAGUGCAGUGACCUGCGGUCCAGCCAUCCUUCUCCUCCCCCUCGCCUGCCCAGUGUUCAGACUACCUGUUCAUCACGCUGAAGCUGAACAGUAGUCCGCACAUUGGUUAGGCUGGGCAGGGACACACACCCGCGCUGCGAGCAACAGGACUCUACCAUUCACUGCUAGAUUCAGGGGGAAUCGCAUAAACAAUCUCUCUCAGAGGGAUCAAGAAAGAGAGAAACGUGUGUGCUAAUUUUAAACAAACACAUGGGGCUCGAAUCCUACUUCAGUGGCACCAGAGACUACAGUAUAAUGGGGGAGGAGACGGACAACUCAUAGAAAAAUGAAUGAGAGAUAUUGCAAUGCUCAAUAUGCUGGAUGAAAGAACAGAAGUCCUGCCUUUAAGUUAAAAGAGCAAAUCAUCUUUUUAAUAAAGUCAUUUAAAAUAAAUAAAUAAUAAAGUUAGUUGUUUACUUUAGACGUGAAAGCUUGUUUACUCUAGAACAUGCAUUUGGAUUAACUGGAUAGGUCUAAAAAAAAAUAAUAAUAAUUUUUAAUGAUCUGAUGUAAAAGAAGAAAAAUGUAUGAUACUGAUUUAAAAUAUGCUACUGAAACAUAAUUUUGACAAAGA